AAUUAUUAUAUUAUUUAUUUAUUUUUUUUAAAAUUUAUUUUUAAUAAAAAUAAUUUUAUAAAAUUUUUUUUUAGUAAUUUUUAAUAAAUAAAUUUUUUUAAUUAUAGUUUACUAGUAUUGUAUAAGAAUUAUGAAAUAAAUUUUAAUUAUAUAAAAGUAGUAUUUUUUUUAUGUACCUUGUGUAUCAGGGUUUAUUUAAUAAAGAUUAUAUAUUUAAUUUUCCCGAGUUUAAGAGAGAGAAUAAAUUAUUUUUUUUAUCGUGAAAAUGAUAUUUAUAAUAAUUUAUUAGUAAUGAAAUGUUAUUCGUUCUUAAAUAUAUCUGGUUUAUUUAGAAAUGAAUUUAAUUCAGUUUAUAUUAUUUUAAUAAUUUAUUUAUUUAAAUUAUUAAAUUUUAUUUAUAAUAAUUAAAGGGAUUAGCUUUUAAUUAAAAAUCUAAAAAUAAUUAAUUAAUUUAAAAUAUGUAAGUUUAGAAAUAUCUAUCAUUAAUAAUUUGUUAUAAUUAAUUUAUUUAAAAAUAUUAUUUAAUAAUAUUUUAGAUUAUAUAUAAAUAAAUAAAUUUUAAUAAUUAAAAUUUAGUUAUAAUGAUAAAAUUAGUAUAUAUGUAAAUAUUUAAAUAAUUUUUUAUGAAAGUUUAUUUAAAGUAAUUCGGCAAAAAUUUUGCUCGCCUGUUUAACAAAAACAUGUCCUUUUGUUUAUUAAUUUAAGGUCUGACCUGCCCACUGAAAUUUAAAUGGCCGCAGUAUUUUGACUGUGCAAAGGUAGCAUAAUCAUUAGUUUUUUAAUUAAAAGCUUGUAUGAAUGGUUGGACGAAGUAAAUUCUGUCUCUAUUUAAUUUAUAUUAAAAUUUAAUUUUUAAGUUAAAAAGCUUAAAUAUUAUUAAAAGACGAGAAGACCCUAUAGAUCUUUAUAUUUUAUUUAUUAAUUUUAAUAUAGAAAUUUUUAUUUUUUAAUAUUAAAAAUAUUUUAUUGGGGUAAUAAAAAGAUUAAUAAAAUUCUUUUUUUUUUAUUACAUUAAUUUAUGAUUGUAUGAUCCAAUUUUUUUGAUUAUAAGAUUAAGUUACCUUAGGGAUAACAGCGUAAUUUUUUUUGAGAGUUCAUAUCGAUAAAAAAGUUUGCGACCUCGAUGUUGGAUUAAAAAUUAUCUUAGGUGCAGAAGUUUAAGAUUUUGGUCUGUUCGACCAUUAAAUUUUUACAUGAUCUGAGUUCAGACCGGUGUAAGCCAGGUCGGUUUCUAUCUUUAAUUAAUUAUUAUAUUUUAGUACGAAAGGACCAAAUAUUUAAUAUAUAUAUAUUUAAUUUUUGAAUAUUAUUAA
rnacentral:rRNA from 1 species